rnacentral:rRNA from 1 species
CCUACGGGUGGCAGCAGUGGGGAAUAUUGCACAAUGAGGGAAACCUUGAUGCAGCGACGCCGCGUGCAUGAAGAAGUAUUUCGGUAUGUAAAGCUCUAUCAGCAGGGAAGAAAAUGACAGUACCUGACCAAUAAGCCACUGCUAACUACGUGCCAGCAGCCGCUGUAAUACGUAGGGGGCAAGCCUUAUCCGGAUUUAAUGGGUCAAACGGUAGCGGAGACGGGUAUGUAAAUAUGGAAGGAAAGCCCGGGGCCCAAACCCGGGACCGCUUUGGAUACUGUGUAACUGGAGUAAAGGAGGGGCAGGCGGAAUUCCAGGUGUAGCGGUGAAAUGCGUAGAUAUAAGGAGGAACACCGGCGGCGAAGGCAGCCUGCUGGACCGAAACUGACGUUGAGGGUCGAAAGCGUGGGGAGCAAACAGGAUUAGAUACCCCUGUAGUC